rnacentral:lncRNA from 1 species
AGCUGCAGGAGAAAACCUCUGUGUGUGUGUUCUGAGGAAACUUAUUAAUUAAAUAUAAUAAUAUUUAAUUAUCUAAGUAAUAAGUGGCUUGGAGCUACAGGAGUCUGAUGAAGCCUAUGCAAGAGGCUGAGUAGGCUGGUGUGCUCAGGGUGCAGGAGGGAGAAAGAGACUCUACAAGGCUCAGAGUAUUUUCUGAAAAAGUCCUGCAGUGCAGAGGAGUCAAACAUUUGAUCACAUGCAGCAGCACAAGAUAGAUGGAGUACAGCUGACUCAACAGCUACAGGGGAUUUGGAAUGGAAACAAUCACUUGCUUGAAGGAAACAAUGUUAUCCAACUUGUGGUGUCAGUCAGCCUAUUCCCACAGUCACUGCAUUGAUGGAGGAAAAUUUUGUUUAUAAAGAAGGGGGAGAUGUGUGGAAUCCUGCACAAGAAGCUGCACCAGUAGACUUGGACGAGAGCCCAGACAUCUGGACUCUUAUCAGCCACAAACCCUGGGAGAAGUGAGCGGGACAAGUCGGGAAGAACAGGAAAAAGAACAUCAGGUGGAACCGAAGAAAGAGCAUAAAGGUAAUUUCUGAGGACUGUACAUUUGGAAACAGCAGGAUGCUUAGGCAAGAUAAAGAAUGUGUAGUCAAGGGGAAGUGGAAAUGACAAUGCGGCGAGUAGUGAUAGCAGAGAACUAUGUUUAGAAAUAAUUACUCAAGCAAAGGCGUGUUGACAGUAAUGUGAUUGGCUGGAAGAGUGCGUGAUCAGUAAGACUUUUUUGUGAUCAAAAAGUAGCAAAAGAAUUAACUGCUGCUAAGCACUAGGCAGAAUACUAUAAAAACCUGUAAGCUCACUCAAUAAAGGAUUUUGUUUGUAGCCAGAAAUGGAAUCUAUGCCUCAGCUGACACAAGAUCAGGCAUGGCAACGGAUGCCAUCCCAUUGAAAGGACGACCCGUGUGCAGUAGGGAC